rnacentral:rRNA from 1 species
UAAGGAAUAUUGGUCAAUGGACGCAAGUCUGAACCAGCCAUGCCGCGUGAAGGAUUAAGGUCCUCUGGAUUGUAAACUUCUUUUUAUCUGGGACGAAAAAAGGCGAUUCUUCGUCACUUGACGGUACCAGAUGAAUAAGCACCGGCUAACUCCGUGCCAGCAGCCGCGGUAAUACGGAGGGUGCAAGCGUUAUCCGGAUUCACUGGGUUUAAAGGGUGCGUAGGCGGGCAGGUAAGUCAGUGGUGAAAAUCCCUGGAGCUUAACUCCAGAACUGCCAUUGAUACUAUCUGUCUUGAAUAUUGUGGAGGUAAGCGGAAUAUGUCAUGUAGCGGUGAAAUGCUUAGAUAUGACAUAGAACACCUAUUGCGAAGGCAGCUUACUACGCAUAUAUUGACGCUGAGGCACGAAAAGCGUGGGGAUCAAAACAGGAUUAGAUACCCUGGUAGUCCACGCCCUAAAACGAUGGAUACUCGACAUACGCGAUACACUGUGUGUGUCUGAGCGAAAAGCAUUAAAGUAUCCCCACCUGGGGAAAGUACGACCGCAAGGUUGAAACUC